AUGUAUGCUGGUUCCAACCCUGCCUUGGAGAUGAGGAACUCUGAGAUGCGCUGCAGCCUACCACCUGAACGUCUUCUUCAAGUGCUCCACUUUGGCGUCGAUCUUCUCCUUGCUGAGGCGUGCAAUAGUCAACAACGCGCGCCUGAACAUCGCAGAGCCACAGGGCACACCAAUACCUUCGGCUCGUGCCGCCACUGCCCGGACGUACUCUAAGUUUGAGGUGAGCAGCCAUGGUUGAACGAUACACAACUUGGCAAUGUCGCAAUUACCUAG
rnacentral:rRNA from 1 species